rnacentral:tRNA from 1 species
GCAGAUAUGGCUCAGUGGUUAAGAGCACUGGUUGUUCUUCCAGAGGUCCUGAGUUCAAUUCCCAGCAACCACU